CCUACGGGGGGCAGCAGUGGGGAAUAUUGCGCAAUGGGCGAAAGCCUGACGCAGCGACGCCGCGUGAGGGAUGAAGGUCUUCGGAUCGUAAACCUCUGUCAGCAGGGAAGAACGGUCACUGUGCUAAUCAGCAGUGAAUUGACGGUACCUGCAAAGGAAGCACCGGCUAACUCCGUGCCAGCAGCCGCGGUAAUACGGAGGGUGCGAGCGUUAAUCGGAAUUAUUGGGUUUAAAGGUUGAGUAGGCGGGUUAUCAAGUUAGCGGUAAAGUCGUGGAGCUCAACUCCAUCCAGCCGUUGAGACUGAUAAUCUUGAGUGGGCGAGAAGUAUGCGGAAUGCGUGGUGUAGCGGUGAAAUGCAUAGAUAUCACGCAGAACUCCGAUUGCGAAGGCAGCAUACCGGCGCCCGACUGACGCUGAAGCACGAAAGCGUGGGUAUCGAACAGGAUUAGAUACCCGUGUAGUC
rnacentral:rRNA from 1 species